GACGAACGCUGGCGGCGUGCCUAAUACAUGCAAGUAGAACGCUGAAGAGAGGAGCUUGCUCUUCUUGGAUGAGUUGCGAACGGGUGAGUAACGCGUAGGUAACCUGCCUGGUAGCGGGGGAUAACUAUUGGAAACGAUAGCUAAUACCGCAUGACAUUGAUUAUCGCAUGAUAAUUGAUUGAAAGAUGCAAUUGCAUCACUACCAGAUGGACCUGCGUUGUAUUAGCUAGUUGGUGAGGUAACGGCUCACCAAGGCGACGAUACAUAGCCGACCUGAGAGGGUGAUCGGCCACACUGGGACUGAGACACGGCCCAGACUCCUACGGGAGGCAGCAGUAGGGAAUCUUCGGCAAUGGGGGGAACCCUGACCGAGCAACGCCGCGUGAGUGAAGAAGGUUUUCGGAUCGUAAAGCUCUGUUGUAAGAGAAGAACGGGUGUGAGAGUGGAAAGUUCACACUGUGACGUAUCUACCAGAAA
rnacentral:rRNA from 1 species